rnacentral:rRNA from 1 species
AGAGUUUGAUCAUGGCUCAGAUUGAACGCUGGCGGCAGGCCUAACACAUGCAAGUCGAGCGGUAGAGAGAAGCUUGCUUCUCUUGAGAGCGGCGGACGGGUGAGUAAUGCCUAGGAAUCUGCCUGGUAGUGGGGGAUAACGUUCGGAAACGGACGCUAAUACCGCAUACGUCCUACGGGAGAAAGCAGGGGACCUUCGGGCCUUGCGCUAUCAGAUGAGCCUAGGUCGGAUUAGCUAGUUGGUGAGGUAAUGGCUCACCAAGGCGACGAUCCGUAACUGGUCUGAGAGGAUGAUCAGUCACACUGGAACUGAGACACGGUCCAGACUCCUACGGGAGGCAGCAGUGGGGAAUAUUGGACAAUGGGCGAAAGCCUGAUCCAGCCAUGCCGCGUGUGUGAAGAAGGUCUUCGGAUUGUAAAGCACUUUAAGUUGGGAGGAAGGGUUGUAGAUUAAUACUCUGCAAUUUUGACGUUACCGACAGAAUAAGCACCGGCUAACUCUGUGCCAGCAGCCGCGGUAAUACAGAGGGUGCAAGCGUUAAUCGGAAUUACUGGGCGUAAAGCGCGCGUAGGUGGUUUGUUAAGUUGGAUGUGAAAUCCCCGGGCUCAACCUGGGAACUGCAUUCAAAACUGACUGACUAGAGUAUGGUAGAGGGUGGUGGAAUUUCCUGUGUAGCGGUGAAAUGCGUAGAUAUAGGAAGGAACACCAGUGGCGAAGGCGACCACCUGGACUAAUACUGACACUGAGGUGCGAAAGCGUGGGGAGCAAACAGGAUUAGAUACCCUGGUAGUC